AACGAACGCUGGCGGCAUGCCUAACACAUGCAAGUCGAACGAGACCUUCGGGUCUAGUGGCGCACGGGUGCGUAACGCGUGGGAACCUGCCCUUAGGUUCGGAAUAACUCCCCGAAAGGGGUGCUAAUACCGGAUAAUGUCUUCGGACCAAAGAUUUAUCGCCUUUGGAUGGGCCCGCGUUGGAUUAGCUAGUUGGUAGGGUAAAAGCCUACCAAGGCGACGAUCCAUAGCUGGUCUGAGAGGAUGAUCAGCCACACUGGGACUGAGACACGGCCCAGACUCCUACGGGAAGCAGCGGUGGGGAAUAUUGGACAAUGGGCGAAAGCCUGAUCCAGCAAUGCCGCGUGAGUGAUGAAGGCCUUAGGGUUGUAAAGCUCUUUUACCCGGGAUGAUAAUGACAGUACCGGGAGAAUAAGCUCCGGCUAACUCCGUG
rnacentral:rRNA from 1 species